GAGUGUGAGUGGGAGGCAGACGGGGAUCGGUGGCGUGUGUUUGCUUGCUUCCGCCUUUCUUCUUUCAUACAAGAGUCCAGCGAGCCGAGACGUGGAGCAUCUUCAUUCGGAACCGAAGCCUUUCGCUGGUGGAGACAGAUGAUGCAGCGAGCAUGCGCAGUGCGCCCAGACUCCGAAGACACCCACUGACGCUGCGGUGACGUCAACGUGGGUUCGUCAACCGAGCAUCAGUUUUAGGUGCUGGAUAUGAAUUAUUCCUCCGAUUUGAAUUAACCUAAACAGCUUUUUAAGCCCCCAGAUCUGCCAUGAAACAAUGACUCCCAGUUUAGAGGAUGUAUUUGCACCUGUGUGGAAUCACGAUGAAGUAAUAAAAAGGAGAGUCAGAGCUGGCACUGACUCACGAGGCCAAUUUUUUGGGCGUCCCGCCGUCAAAAGAUCGGCUGAAGCCAGAGGAAGUAGAAUGAAAAAGGAAGACAUCAUCACACCGAUAUACAAGAGAUAGCAGAUAGUCCAACCCUGCAACAAACAGUCGGUGCACCACGACCUUCGGGGACGGGGCAACCUCAGGAAAAAAGGAUGAGAUGCAGCGACAUGAUGACACAACUGAAUCAGGAUGGAUCACAACAACAAAGGAAGACAAACCUAGAAAGGAAAAUGUGUGUAGCAAAGUGAUGUGUUAUUGUAUUAAUGACACUUGAAUAGACACCUAUAGAGUGGAACCUUAUCAAUAUAUUAAUUCUAAAUAAAUAUUUAAGGUUUGAAAUGCACCUUUUAUAAUUUACAGUGGAUGCUAACCAAGGUGCAUUAGAUCUAAGGUGCUGAACAAAGUAAGUAUUUUAACUGUGAUAGAUAAUUUGUUGGUGUUUGUGGAAGGGCUUUUUCGUUUGACACUGCAUGUUAUAUUAGAUAAGCCACUGAUAUGUAAUGGAACAGUUAUGAAGAUAUUUUGUAACAACAGCAAUGGAGAGUCUGCUGCGGAACAGUGAGGUAACUGAAUUUGUCAGUGCAUAAAUAGU